GACGAACGCUGGCGGCGUGCUUAACACAUGCAAGUCGAACGGAAAGGCCCUGCUUUUGUGGGGUGCUCGAGUGGCGAACGGGUGAGUAACACGUGAGUAACCUGCCCUUGACUUUGGGAUAACUUCAGGAAACUGGGGCUAAUACCGGAUAGGAGCUCCUGCUGCAUGGUGGGGGUUGGAAAGUUUCGGCGGUUGGGGAUGGACUCGCGGCUUAUCAGCUUGUUGGUGGGGUAGUGGCUUACCAAGGCUUUGACGGGUAGCCGGCCUGAGAGGGUGACCGGCGACAUUGGGACUGAGAUACGGCACAGACUGCUAAGGGAGGCAGAAGGGGGGAAUAUUGCACAAGGGGCGGAAGCCUGAUGAAGAAACGCCGCGUGCGGGAAGACGGCCUUCGGGGUGUAAACCGCUUUCGCCUGUGACGAAGCGUGAGUGAAGGUAAUGGGUAAAGAAGCAACGGCUAACUACGUG
rnacentral:rRNA from 1 species